rnacentral:rRNA from 1 species
AUUGAACGCUGGCGGCAGGCUUAACACAUGCAAGUCGAGCGGAGAGAGGUAGCUUGCUACUGAUCUUAGCGGCGGACGGGUGAGUAAUGCUUAGGAAUCUGCCUAUUAGUGGGGGACAACAUUUCGAAAGGAAUGCUAAUACCGCAUACGUCCUACGGGAGUAAGCAGGGGAUCUUCGGACCUUGCGCUAAUAGAUGAGCCUAAGUCGGAUUAGCUAGUUGGUGGGGUAAAGGCCUACCAAGGCGACGAUCUGUAGCGGGUCUGAGAGGAUGAUCCGCCACACUGGGACUGAGACACGGCCCAGACUCCUACGGGAGGCAGCAGUGGGGAAUAUUGGACAAUGGGCGGAAGCCUGAUCCAGCCAUGCCGCGUGUGUGAAGAAGGCCUUAUGGUUGUAAAGCACUUUAAGCGAGGAGGAGGCUACUUUAGUUAAUACCUAGAGAUAGUGGACGUUACUCGCAGAAUAAGCACCGGCUAACUCUGUGCCAGCCGCCGCAGUAAGAC